UACGUAGGGACCAAGCGUUGUUCGGAUUUACUGGGCGUAAAGGGCGCGUAGGCGGCGCGGUAAGUCACUUGUGAAAUCUCUGAGCUUAACUCAGAACGGCCAAGUGAUACUGCAGUGCUAGAGUGUGGAAGGGGCAAUCGGAAUUCUUGGUGUAGCGGUGAAAUGCGUAGAUAUCAAGAGGAACACCAAUGGCGAAGGCAGCUCGCUGGGACGGUACUGACGCUGAGACGCGAAAGCGUGGGGAGCAAACAGG
rnacentral:rRNA from 1 species